rnacentral:rRNA from 1 species
UCCAGACUCCUACGGGAGGCAGCAGUGGGGGAUAUUGCACAAUGGGGGGAACCCUGAUGCAGCGACGCCGCGUGGGUGGAGGAGUAUUUCGGUAUGUAAAGCUCUAUCAGCAGGGAAGAAGAUGACGGUACCUGACCAAGAAGCUCCGGCUAAAUACGUGCCAGCAGCCGCGGUAAUACGUAUGGAGCAAGCGUUAUCCGGAUUUACUGGGUGUAAAGGGAGCGCAGGCGGCCUUGCAAGUCUGAUGUGAAAGGCCGGGGCCCAACCCCGGGACUGCAUUGGAAACUGCGAGGCUGGAGUGUCGGAGAGGCAGGCGGAAUUCCUAGUGUAGCGGUGAAAUGCGUAGAUAUUAGGAGGAACACCAGUGGCGAAGGCGGCCUGCUGGACGAUGACUGACGCUGAGGCUCGAAAGCGUGGGGAGCAAACAGGAUUAGAUACCCUCGUAAA